CCUACGGGGGGCUGCAGUGGGGAAUAUUGGACAAUGGGGGCAACCCUGAUCCAGCCAUGCCGCGUGUGUGAAGAAGGCCCUCGGGUGGUAAAGCACUUUCAGUGAGGAAGAACGCCUGGUGGUUAAUACCCAUCAGGAAAGACAUCACUCACAGAAGAAGCACCGGCUAACUCCGUGCCAGCAGCCGCGGUAAUACGGAGGGUGCGAGCGUUAAUCGGAAUUACUGGGCGUAAAGCGCGCGUAGGUGGCUUGAUAAGCCGGUUGUGAAAGCCCCGGGCUCAACCUGGGAACGGCAUCCGGAACUGUCAAGCUAGAGUGCAGGAGAGGAAGGUAGAAUUCCCGGUGUAGCGGUGAAAUGCGUAGAGAUCGGGAGGAAUACCAGUGGCGAAGGCGGCCUUCUGGACUGACACUGACACUGAGGUGCGAAAGCGUGGGUAGCAAACAGGAUUAGAUACCCUAGUAGUC
rnacentral:rRNA from 1 species